GUGCUCCCUUGGGCAGCACAUAUACUAAAAUUAAAACGAUACAGAUUAGCAUGGCCCCUGCAUAAGGAUGACACGCAAAUUUGUGAAGCGUUCCAUAUUUUU
rnacentral:snRNA from 1 species